rnacentral:lncRNA from 1 species
UUGAUUGUGCUCAAGCAAAUAUAUGCAAAUGCAAAACAAAUCAACUAGAGAUUUAGAGUCCAGAUGUAGCUCAAAUAAUAAUUAAACCAAUAUUAUUGGGCAACGAUGAACACUUAAAAGAGAUGGUUAAAAGAAAAACGGGAAACCCAUAUAUCAAAUUUCCUACACUUCCUUUGAUUUUCCAGACAUGUAACAAUCCCUACCACAAAAGACAUAGGUAGACAUCUGACUAUGUCUGAUUGAACAACGCAAUGCGUGAAGUCUUGAGUGGCGGAGUAUACAGAGAUUAAUUGUGCUCAAGCAAAUAUAUGCAAACGCAAAUCAAACCAAGAGAUGUAGAGUCCAGAUGUAGCUCAAAUAAUAAUUAAAUCAAUAUUAUUGGGCAACGAUGGACACUUACAAGAGAUGGUUAAAAGAAAAACGGGAAACCCAUAAAUCAAAUUUCCUCUCUUUCUUUGAUUUUCCAGACAUGUAACAAUCCCUACCGCAAAGAGAAAGGUAGACAUCUGACUAUGUCUGAUUGAAUCAACCAAAUCUCUACAUACAUAAUGCAUGAAGUCUUGAGUGGUAUAGUGUACAGAGAUUGCAUAUGCUCAAGCAAAUAUAUGCAAAUGCAAAACAAGUCAAUGAGAGAGAUGCAGAGUCCAGAUGUAGCUCAAAUAAUAAUUAACCAAUAUUAUUGGGCAACGAUGGACACUUACAAGAGAUGGUUAAAAGAAAAACGGGAAACCCAUAAAUCAAAUUUCCUCUCUUUCUUUGAUUUUCCAGACAUGUAACAAUCCCUACCGCAAAGAGAAAGGUAGACAUCUGACUAUGUCUGAUUGAAUCAACCAAAUCUCUACAUACAUAAUGCAUGAAGUCUUGAGUGGUAUAGUGUACAGAGAUUGCAUAUGCUCAAGCAAAUAUAUGCAAAUGCAAAACAAGUCAAUGAGAGAGAUGUAGAGUCCAGAUGUAGCUCAAAUAAUAAUUAAACCAAUAUUAUUGGGCAACGAUGAACACUUAAAAGAGAUGGUUAAAAGAAAAACGGGAAACCCAUAAAUCAAAUUUCCUCUCUUUCUUUGAUUUUCCAGACAUGUAACAAUCCCUACCACGAUAAUACACAGUAGGCAUCUGACUAUGUCUGGUAUAAAAUCAUUGCAAUCAAACCGCCUUGAAGUAGACUCAAAAAUGAAAUAUUAGCACUUCGCAGCCAAUCUUUAGUGAAAAAGCAAUUUUUUU